UACGGAGGGGGCUAGCGUUGUUCGGAAUUACUGGGCGUAAAGCGCACGUAGGCGGCUUUGUAAGUUAGAGGUGAAAGCCCGGGGCUCAACUCCGGAAUUGCCUUUAAGACUGCAUCGCUAGAAUUGUGGAGAGGUAAGUGGAAUUCCGAGUGUAGAGGUGAAAUGCGCAGAUAUCGGGAGGAACACCAGUGGCGAAGGCGGCACUCUGGGCCAGUACUGACGCUGAUGCGCGACAGCGUGGGGAGCAAACAGGGAUUAGA
rnacentral:rRNA from 1 species